GCGGCCACAAGUGCUAGUUCUCAAGGUAUUGAGGACAGCAUGAUACAAACACUGGGACGUUGGAAAUCAGAUUGUUUUAAACGUUACAUUAGAACUUCCAAAUUGGAUAUUAAAUCCGCGCUGGAAAAGAUUAAAUGACAAGAUACAAUGCAGAAAACGUUUUUUACCAUCGGUUAUAACUUUGUAAUUUGUCCUCCAUCCUAGCCUUGUGUCUUUUCUUCUCACGUUGAUCUCAAUAUUGUGGUUAAGGAUUUUUAUAUUGACAUUAAUUUUUUCUCUAGAUCAACUUUAAUUUUAACAAGACACAAGGCUUCAUCAGGCACAACAUCUUCAAUCUUUUGGGGUUACUCAAUAUGCAACUUGGGCAGGCAACAUAACGUUACAUAUUUCGUUUUGGGCUAUGAUAUUUUAUUUUGGCCAAAUAUAAUAUCGUUUCC
rnacentral:lncRNA from 1 species